ACACCUGUAGCUCAGGGGAUAGAGCAGUGGUUUCCGGUACCACGUGCCGGGGGUUCGAAUCCCUCCAGGUGUGCUA
rnacentral:tRNA from 1 species